rnacentral:siRNA from 1 species
CAGUCCCUUGAUAAAAAGCCA